GCUAAACGCGAAGAACCUUACCAGGGCUUGACAUCCUUGGAAUUUCUCCGAAAGGAGAGAGUACUUUAUUGGACCAAGUGACAGGUGUUGCAUGGCCGUCGUCAGCUCGUGUCGUGAGAUGUUAGGUUAAGUCCUUCAACGAGCGCAACCCUUAUGUUUAGUUGGAUUUUUCUAAACAGACUGCCUCGGCAACGGGGAGGAAGGAGGGGAUGAUGUCAGGUCAUUAUUACCCUUAUGUCUUGGGCUGCACACAUGCUACAAUGGUCGGUACAAAGGGCUGCGAGACCGCAAGGUGGAGCGAAUCCCAAAAAGCCGGCCUCAGUUCGGAUUAGGGUCUGCAACUCGACCCUAUGAAGUCGGAGUCACUAGUAAUCGCAGACCAGCAACGCUGCGGUGAAUACGUUCCCGGGUCUUGUACACACCG
rnacentral:rRNA from 1 species